rnacentral:rRNA from 1 species
UACGGGGGGGGUAAGCGUUGUUCGGAAUUACUGGGCGUAAAGGGCUCGUAGGCGGCCAACUAAGUCAGACGUGAAAUCCCUCAGCUUAACUGGGGAACUGCGUCUGAUACUGGAUGGCUUGGAUUCGGGAGAGGAAUGCGGAAUUCCAGGUGUAGCGGUGAAAUGCGUAGAUAUCUGGAGGAACACCGGUGGCGAAGGCGGCGUUCUGGACUGCAACUGACACUGAUGAACGAAAGCCAGGGGAGCAAACGGG